UUUCCUUUUACCUUCCUUUUCAUUCCUACGGAACACGGUCGACCUCUUUCCUCUUCCUGCAAUUUCUUCCUGCUCUCUCCGACUGCCGUUCUCUCCCAAAUUACCAACCUUCAAUCGCCCAUCAACCAUUUAGUCAGCCAUCACCCGUGAGCCCAUUUAGGUGGUGAUUAUGAUAAUCCCGUAAGAUUCAUAGAACGAGGAAGAAAAUGGUACCUAUGGAAAUAAAGAAAAAGUAUUUAUUUUCUUGGGCAAGUUAUGAACUCGAACACUCCGUUAUUAACUGCUGGAAUAAAUGGAUCUAUGGAUUCAACAGCUCCCAGAGGAAAUUCCAAGCGACCCAAAUGUAUUUUUUUCUUUUUAAUGCUCUUCUUAAUUUUCUAAACUUAUUUGUUUCUAUUGCUCAAUUGGCAACUGCCGACGUGAUGUUUUAGCCUUGAUUCUUAGUUUUUUGCUCAGAAUUUUGAUUGUUAUGUCAAUCUUUUGUGGGUAUCUUGCAAAUUAACUUAGUUCAAGAAUUGGUUGAAGGUCUAUUCAACUGGUACUAUUUUGAUUAUGUUCUUGCAAGUUCUGUAAGUAUGGAUUUUCUUUAGAAGGUCUAUAUUGAAGUCCAGGUUUAGUGUUUGAAUGUCACCAUUUUACUUGCUUGGUUCUAUAACUUCUAUC